rnacentral:rRNA from 2 species
GACGAACCGUGCGAACGUUGUUCGGAAUCACUGGGCUUAAAGGGCGCGUAGGCGGGUUGCCAAGUCCGGGGUGAAAGCCCCCAGCUUAACUGGGGAAGGGCCUUGGAUACUGGCAGUCUGGAGGGGGGUAGGGGCAGUGGGAACUUCCGGUGGAGCGGUGAAAUGCGUUGAUAUCGGAAGGAACGCCGGUGGCGAAAGCGCACUGCUGGACCUUUUCUGACGCUGAGGCGCGAAAGCCAGGGGAGCAAACGGG